rnacentral:snoRNA from 1 species
CUGCAGCCAAUUAAGCUGACUGGCCCCCUCUCCCCACGGAGGCAGUGUGCAGUGCCUGCAGACAGCAGCCUCCUUGGUAGUAUACGUGGCCUGUUGCUUGUACGGGUUGCCCAAGGGACCGUGGAGACAGCC